rnacentral:rRNA from 1 species
CCGCACAGUAAACGAUGUACACUGGGUGUCCGGGCAGGAGCUUGGGUGCCGGAGCGAACGCGGUAAGUGUACCGCCUGGGGAGUAUGCCCGCAAGGGUGAAACUCAAAGGAAUUGACGGGGGCCCGCACAAGCGGUGGAGCAUGUGGUUUAAUUCGAUGGUACGCGAGGAACCUUACCUGGGCUUGACAUCCGUUGGGAGCGCGCUGAGAGGUGUGCGCGCAGCAAUGCGCCGGCGGACAGGUGCUGCAUGGCUGU